GGUUUGUCACACUAGCCCAGGGCUUCGGUUCUGAGUGUUGGUGUGUACUCUCCAUCCUUCUAGAGAGCUGUGCGUACCGUUAACUCGGCCGCGCGCAUGCGAUCUAGAUCUUUUACUUUGAAAAAAUUAGAGUGUUUAAAGCAGGCUUACGCUGUGAAUACAUUAGCAUGGAAUAAUAAUAUAGGACUUUGUUUCUAUUUUGUUGGUUUCUAGGAAUGAAGUA
rnacentral:rRNA from 1 species